rnacentral:rRNA from 1 species
UAGGGAAUUUUCGUCAAUGGGCGCAAGCCUGAACGAGCAAUGCCGCGUGAGUGAGGAAGGUCUUCGGAUCGUAAAGCUCUGUUGCGGGGGAAAAAGGAAGACAGCAGGAAAUGGCUGACUUUUGAUGGUACCCCGCCAGAAAGUCACGGCUAACUACGUGCCAGCAGCCGCGGUAAUACGUAGGUGGCGAGCGUUAUCCGGAAUGAUUGGGCGUAAAGGGUGCGCAGGCGGCACGUCAAGUCUGAAGUAAAAGGUACAGGCUCAACCUGUACAGGCUUUGGAAACUGACGGGCUAGAGGACAGGAGAGGGCGGUGGAACUCCAUGUGUAGCGGUAAAAUGCGUAGAUAUAUGGAAGAACACCAGUUGCGAAGGCGACCGCCUGGACUGUUACUGACGCUCAGGCACGAAAGCGUGGGGAGCAAAUAGG